rnacentral:lncRNA from 1 species
UCUGUAGAAGUUAUUUUAGUACGAAAUUAUACGAGAAGUAAACUGUUUGAUACUUUAAGGGUUAAAGGUGUAAGAAUAAUUGUAAAAGAAAAAUUUUUAUGACAAAGUAAAAGCAAGUUUAAAGACACAUAAUAUCUCAAUAUGCAUAAAUAACAUUUACAUGCAUGAAUAUAUAUAUAUAUUUAUUAAUUAAAUAACAUGAAUUUAUUAAGUAUUUGAGAAAAGAAAUACAACAUGUGCUGACGUUUUGUUUUUUGUGUAGAAGAUACAAAAUAUAUUUGAUGUACGUGGAGUAUGAAUUUCAUUAGAACAAAACAAGUAAUACAAUAUAAGUACUUUUUUGUUUGACACUCUGACAAACGAACAGUAAACUAAAGCUUAAAAGAAUAGAAAAUAACAAAUGGAAAAUAUAAGUGACUCAAAACGAUAUUUCAUUAUUUUCUUUUUACUCUGAAUCAAAAGUGUAUACUUAAAAAAGUUAAAUUAUAACUAUAAAGAAAUAAAUAUUUAUUUAAGAAAGAAAAAGAAUUAUGAUAGAAUUUUAACUUUGACACCUUCCAUUUUAUACAAACUUUGUUGUACUAAUAAACUUAAGUAGAAUAUUGAGCAUCAUGGGUAAAGCUACUCCACCAUUUACGGAGAAGGAAAGGCGUUGCGGAGUGAAAAUGAUUAGUGUCCACGACACGCAGAAUUUUUCAAAUUGUGCUGCCUUGGAUGCAGCAAAUCGACGGAGAUCAGCCAUGGGUCUAUCAACAAGACUCAACACCUACUUAUGUCUUAGACAGGGCACUCAAGUGGCUGAGAGUACACUAGGAAGAUGUAGUUGCCCCUGAAAUUAUAAAUCCUUCUCAGAAACAGCGGAACCUAAUUUGGGUACUGCAACUAGAUGGUAAAUCCGUUGAUAGCUCUAAAAAUGUUGUUUUUCUCUUCAUUUUAAACAUGAAGAUUUUGAAACAGAAACUAGAUGGACAAAUGGAGAACUAAAAAGACGUAUCUUAAGAAAAAGUGCUUUAGGAUUUAAACAAAGUGUCAAUUAAACAAAGGACCAGUAGGAAAUCAAUGACUGAGGUGAGGCGUAAACGUAAGAGUGAAGAAAUAUAAUUAAAGACGCUAAAGUUUCCAGAAAUGAUGAUAUUUCAAAUUUGUCGGAGCUCAAACAAAAAUUAGUUAUCAAUUGUGUGCCUACAAAAAUAUAGUAGAUUGAAUGGAUGAUUAAGUGCAAUUUCUGUACAUAACAAAAUCAGAUUCAAGUAUUUUGCAGAGCAAACAAAAUUAGUGAAAUGAUAAUGUUGGAACAAUUGCAUCACCCUAGUGUUGACUGCUAUCACUUCUUCGGAGAGAAAUGUGGCCCCAACAGUCCUGAUUUAAGUAAGAUAAAUUAUUUUAUCUGGGCAAGUUUGAAUCUAAACCCAAUCAAAUAUAUAAUGUCAUCAAAGAUUUUAUGAUUACCUCAAUUAAGGAAACAAUGAUCAUCAUGCCAAGGAACUACCUAGUCAACGCCUUUUCCUCCUUCAGUGUCCAGAUACAGGAUUAGAUUUAUUCGGAGGUCGAUACAUCAAAUGAGCUCUUUAUCAAUAUUCAUAUGAAGAAUUCAAGCAAAUGCUCCAGUUUAAUCUUAACAACAUGUAUAAUUUGAUUAAUUUAGCUACAAAUAUCUAUCGUAUUAAUAAACCAAUUGUACUCUUAA